rnacentral:lncRNA from 1 species
UGAAAUGAUCCUUGGUUGCCUGGUCAUGACAAUAACAGGGUUUUAGUGCAAAAAAUGAAUAUAUCAUGGACUACUGUGAAUCAGUUGAUUGAUGCCGAGGAAAGCACCUAGAAAAAGGAGGUUAUUCGAAGUCUGUUCGAUGAAGAUCAAUCAAGGUGAAUAUUUUCAAUUCCUCCUGGUUGUAGAAUAACUCAGGACUUAUUAGUCUGGAAAUUUGUGGCCACUGGAAGUUACUCAGUGAAGAGUACAGGGUUUUGAUUUCAGAGCAUUUAAAGGGCACUAAUUAUAUUGGUUACAAUGCCAGCAUAUAAAAAGAUUUCUACAAGCUUCUAUGGGAGUUACAGAUUCCAUCUAAAAUUAAAAUCCAUGUCUGGAGACUCAUUAACAACUAUGUACCACAUUUAGUUAACCUUUUCCAAAGGCGUCUUUUAGCAGAUGUGUUUUGUCCCCUUUGUAAAGAAUCACCGGAGGAUUCUGAUCAUCUCUUAUGGAGGUGUGGAGUUUUGCAGCAGCUAUGGGUCUCCCUCAAUGUCCGUUUUUCUCUGAAUUAUCUCACCUCGCAUGGCAAAGAUAAUUUCAUAAGAAAUUUUAUAGAAGCAGAUGUUAGCACGAGACAGAUUCUUUUUUUUUCUUUAUGGGCUCUUUGGAAUAGCAGAAACAAACAGAUAUAUGAAGAAGUUAGGUUCUCAAAGCAAGAUAUUAUAGGUUUUAUUCGUGGGUAUGGUCUGGAUCUACUAUCUAGCCAUACUUAUCAGAAGCCUUUUCCUUGUUCUAAGCGACAUCAGCUUUGGCGACCCCCUGAUAGUGGGAUGCUUAAACUAAAUUUUGAUGCGUCUUUUCUUAAAGAAGCUGGAUUCUCUUUUGCAAUAGUUCUUGCAAGAAAUGAGGAAGGGCAGUUCUUGGGAGCGCGUACUUAACCUUUUAGUGAUGUGGUGGACGCGGUGGUGGCGGAAGCUAGAACUUGCGAGAGGGCCAUGCUUUUUGCGGCUGGGCGAGGUGGACGAGGAUUCUGUUGGAAGGUGACUCUCUGACUACUAUUAAGAAACUGAACUCUGUGGGGGAGGACAGAUCGAUCCUUAGACCCAUCAUUAAUCAUAUCCGAGUUAUGAGGAAUCAGUUUGAGGAUGUUUCAUACCUGUUUGUUCCGAGGACGGCUAAUAGUGCAGCGCACACUCUGGCUUUGGAAGGUCGCCGACAACAGAUUGCUUGCUCUUGGUUUCACGAUCCUCCAAACUCGGUUCAAAAAGUUAUGGAUAAGGAUUGGGAAGAAUGGGUACACAGAGGAUAAGGGGUUUUGUGUUUCUUUGAAGAAGGAGACUGUGCUGAAGAUUCUCCAUGGGUGGUUUCAAAGAAGCUUUUCUGUUGGGGCAAGUUUUGAGAACAAUUAUGUGGUUUCAGGAAGCCAUUUCGUCUGAUAUUCCUGUUGGCUUUUCGUUUUUGGUGCGAGCUGGUUUUCUUUGAGGAUGGUUUUUAGGUGUUUUUGUCGUUUCUUUUCCUGUGUGUUUUUUUUUGCUUUAAAUUCUGUUGUUUCAGUUUUCUUUAUUGUUUUUGGACAUAUCACCUCGAGUCAAGUUUUAAUAGAAUAUUAGUUAUAUUUGCAAAAAAAAAAAGAGUCAAGAGUGCUCUCUUAGGUCUCCCGAAGAAAUAGUGAAUACUGUGCUUGGGAAGGAGAUGAGUGGUGACUUCGAAACGAUGGAAGAUCAAAACGAGAUUGCCCUUCUUGAAGAAGAUUUAAUUCAGUUAACGGUGAAAAGCUCACCAGUGGUUCCAUCAAAGAACCCGACGUUGAUCUGCUCAGUUUGGAUGAGGAAAACGUACAAUCCAGAUAGCCUAAGAGCACAAUUGAAGAGUUUCUAGAAGACAAAAAGAAAUUUGAGAUUCUUGUUGCAGGCCAGAAUUUAUUUACAAUCUCUUUUGAAGACGAGGAAGAUUUAGAACAGAUUUUGGAAGGGCGACCAUAGUUCUUUCGAAAACAACUAAUCAUCUUUGAUAGGCUAGUGCAACCUAUUGAGAGACAUAAGAUCAAACUGGUUCACUCCCCGUUUUGGAUAAAGGUUGGUCUAUGUCCUCCUGAGUGCGACAAGAAGGAUCUUACGCAUGCAGUUGGAUCUACUUUUGAAGGGGUAAUCCGAG